UACGUAGGGGGCAAGCGUUGUCCGGAUUCAUUGGGCGUAAAGAGCGUGUAGGCGGCCAGGUAGGUCCGAUGUGAAAACUGGAGGCUCAACCUCCAGCUGUCAUUGGAAACCCUCUGGCUAGAGUCCGGAAGAGGAGAGUGGAAUUCCUGGUGUAGCGGUGAAAUGCGCAGAUAUCAGGAAGAACACCUAUGGCGAAGGCAGCUCUCUGGGACGGUACUGACGCUGAGACGCGAAAGCGUGGGGAGCGAACAGG
rnacentral:rRNA from 2 species